ACGGGCCAAACCCUCUUCACCCUCCCACACGCACCACCAUGCGGCCUACGCCGCCUCCCCCCAUCGCCGUGAUUCCAUGACCGCCGCCGCGCCGUCUCCUCCUCUGAAGCUAACCUCCGCCACCGCCUUCUCCGAUGCCUCCCCAUCUCCUCCUACACAGCCUCCUCCAGCUCAGGGUCCCACCUCGCCACCCCCUCCUCCGCCUCCUCCACUCCUACAACCCCAUUGACCGACCGCCGCCGCUGGACCAGCCCCUGCACGAUGCUGAGCUUUGGAUCGCCAAGGCGCUCGCGACUGCUGCCUUACUCCUGCCACACUACCUCCCGGCAUUCCGCCGCCUCGCGCCCUCCCAGGUCGCCGCCGCCGCCGCGCUCCGCCACGCGCCGUGCGCCUCCUCGACGCUCCACCUCUUCUCUGCGCUGCAUUCCCCCCACUCCCAGCUCGCCAUCCCCCCGUCCGCUCAUUCCUACCGCUACGUCAUCUCGUUGAUGUGCCAGUCCGGCCGCCACACUGAUGCCCUCCAACUGUUCGACCAAAUGACGGACCAGUCUGGUUACUUUCCCAAUGCUCGUUUUCUCUCUUUCCUGUCCGGUUCCUGCGCCACCGCAGGCCUUCUUGAUGCCGCUGCAGCAUUGCUCUCAAAGGCAUCCCAAUUUGGUUGUUCCAUUGAAGCGUAUGCAUAUAACAAGCUCCUGGGUUUGUUCAUUGGCCGUGGCCGGGUGCAGGACGCUGUGGUGUUGUUUGAGGGGUGGAUCCAGGGGAGAGUAUAUUCUCCCGACGUGUGGAGCUUCAAUGUCGUCAUCAAGGGGGUUUGCAAGGUGGGGGAUGUUCAAAAGGCGCUCGAGUUGGUCGAAAGAAUGGAUGAGUUUUGUUGCUUGCCAGAUACUGUCACACAUAAUAUUCUUGUGAAUGGGCUAUGCAGGGCAAAGGAGGUGAGUAAGGGUCGUGAGGUGUUGAGGAGGCUUCAGAGAGAUGGUGUUUGCAAGCCCAAUGUAGUGACAUACACCUCAGUAAUCUCAGGUUACUGUAAGGCUGGCAGGAUGGAGGAUGCAAUGGCAGUAUACGGUGACAUGGUUGCGUGUGGGACAUCACCCAAUGUUGUCACAUACAAUGUGCUAAUCAAUGGAUAUGGCAAGGCUGGGAAUAUGGGGUCUGCGGUGGCAGUGUAUCAGCAAAUGAUACUUCGUCGCUGCCUUCCUGAUGUUGUGACAUUUAGCUCAUUGAUUGAUGGAUAUUGUCGGUGCGGACAGCUUGAUGAUGCGAUGAAGAUUUGGACUGAGAUGUCUCAGUAUCAUAUUCAACCAAAUGCACACACGUUCUGUAUCAUAAUACACACAUUUUGUAAGCAGAACAGAUCAGGGGAAGCACUUCAUUUUUUGAAAAAAAUGAACAUGAGAACAGACAUUGCACCACAAGCGUUUAUAUAUAACCCUGUGAUUGAUGUACUGUGCAAGGGUGGAAAGGUGGACGAAGCAAACAUGAUUCUAAUGGAGAUGGAAGAGAAAGGAUGUCAUCCCGACAAGUAUACAUAUACUAUUUUGAUAAUUGGGCACUGCAUGAAGGGUAGGAUAGCAGAAGCCAUCACAUUUUUCCAUAAAAUGGUAGAGACUGGGUGUACCCCUGACAGUAUAGUAGUCAAUUCUUUUAUUAGCUGCCUUUUAAAGUCUGGGAUGCCUGGUGAGGUGGAUCAUAUAAUGCGUAUUGCAGCAGGGGGUGCUUCAUCGAGUUGGAAAGAUCCUUCUCCUGUAACCCAAAGCGUAGACAUUUCAGUAGCUGUAUAGCUGAAUGAUACAAUGGAGAAUGUAAGAAACAGCAUCUUGACUGUUUUCGGUGCGAAUUACGGGGCAUCUGGCGCUUGUCCAAAUAAGAAGAACAAGCUCUGUGGUUUUGCAGAACACUCCGUCGAAAAGAACUCAAAUGUAACCAUUGACAUCUUGGUUACACCAAGGGUAUGGAACUAUUGAGAGACUAAUCCAAAAUUUCGUGCUAGAAAGAAAAGGACAAGCAGCUUGGUGCUCCGUGUAUGCGUUGAAGUGAUUCGAUGAAUUCCAUAAAGGGAAGCAAAUGGUGGAGCUGUAAUUUCAAGGGGCCUGCUGAUCAGCUGCAGUAGUGCUACAUCACUUGCUCAAUGGACCCUUGACACACUCCUCAACACCUCAUGUAUGAUUUGUCGACUCCCUGGUAGAUGAUAAGAUCAUCCAGUCACUUGAACCUACCUGUCAAGAACCUGCUUCGUUUUGGAGGAGCUGUUACCUAAAUGAGGGGGAAUCAGCAGUUGAAGAACACGAUGGAAGUAAUUUACCCUCUAGCAGAGGUCCCUUUCAUGCAAUCAGUCAUGCUGUGACUGGAGCUGUUGAAUCUCAGGAUCCUUGACUUCUGAGGUGUGAAUCUCAAGAAAAGGUACACUAUAUAUCCUGUUCUUGAUGCAUAUCUAACUUGAGAUGAAAAGGAAUCGCCAUAAUGUAUUGCUGGUUCAUCGGUAAUUUCUGGUGGCCUAUUGAAGUUUUGUGCAACGGAGGAAUAUAUUUGGUCUUCCUUUCUAUAUCAGUUCUUCAAUGGCCAACCAUUCUUAAUAACAGGAACCAUUAGUUGUCGGAUCUUGUCCUCUGUACCUGAAUCAUUGGUGAAGCAUAAGGCGAGGCCGUUCUGUGCUUUUGUUGGAACUUGAACAUGUACAAAUAUUUGGUAUGAAGUGCCUAACCUAUAAGGUUCUCUUGCCUAACCCGGACCACUUGCCAGGAAAGGUGAACAGGGGGACGGCAGCACGUUGUCAACAAUUUCUGGCAAGUGAAGGCGUGAAGCUGUAGGCAAGAGUUCCCAAGAGGAAUGGUUGAUGAACUCUACUCACCGAGCCUUUGGGGCUAAGCAACCAUCUGCUAAAGGAAACUUGAAGAGUCUUUUCGUCCUUCACCCGCCUGCUAACUCUCUGAGAGUGUGAGCCUGGAUUGGUGAUGAAUGGAGUUUAUGCGAACGGGCUCAGCUUAACGUGGAAACUAGACGAGAACUCUAGAAGCAGUUCAUGAUUUUUAAUCUUUAAUUACAAUCGUUGAACAAGAUGCUAAGCCAAAGGAGUUAGGUUCAGGAGAGACUCACAUUCAGCUAUUACACAGGAUUCUCUUUCCUCUCUUCUUUUCUCAAAGUCUAAACAAUACUCCCUUUGUCCCAUAAUAUAAGAUG